rnacentral:rRNA from 1 species
UACGGGGGGGGCAAGCGUUGUUCGGAAUUACUGGGCGUAAAGGGCUCGUAGGUGGCCAACUAAGUCGGACGUGAAAUCCCUCAGCUUAACUGGGGAACUGCGUCCGAUACUGGAUGGCUUGAGUUUGGGAGAGGGAUGCGGAAUUCCAGGUGUAGCGGUGAAAUGCGUAGAUAUCUGGAGGAACACCGGUGGCGAAGGCGGCAUCCUGGACCAACACUGACACUGAGGAGCGAAAGCCAGGGGAGCAAGCGGG